UGGGGAAUAUUGGACAAUGGGCGAAAGCCUGAUCCAGCCAUGCCGCGUGUGUGAAGAAGGUCUUCGGAUUGUAAAGCACUUUAAGUUGGGAGGAAGGGCAGUAAGUUAAUACCUUGCUGUUUUGACGUUACCGACAGAAUAAGCACCGGCUAACUCUGUGCCAGCAGCCGCGGUAAUACAGAGGGUGCAAGCGUUAAUCGGAAUUACUGGGCGUAAAGCGCGCGUAGGUGGUUUGUUAAGUUGGAUGUGAAAGCCCCGGGCUCAACCUGGGAACUGCAUCCAAAACUGGCAAGCUAGAGUACGGUAGGGGGUGGUGGAGUUUCCUGUGUAGCGGUGAAAUGCGUAGAUAUAGGAAGGAACACCAGUGGCGAAGGCGACCACCUGGACUGAUACUGACACUGAGGUGCGAAAGCGUGGGGAGCAA
rnacentral:rRNA from 1 species